GGAUGGAUGUCUGAGCGGUUGAAAGAGUCGGUCUUGAAAACCGAAGUAUUUUUGUUAAUACCGGGGGUUCGAAUCCCUCUCCAUCCG
rnacentral:tRNA from 1 species